rnacentral:rRNA from 1 species
GACGGAGGGUGCAAGCGUUGUUCGGAUUGACUGGGCGUAAAGGGCGUGUAGGCGGUUGGUCAGGUCGGGUGUGAAAGCCUAGGGCUCAGCUCCAGAAGUGCAUCCGAUACUAGCCAGCUAGAGCGCGAUAGAGGAGGGUGGAAUUCCUGGUGUAGCGGUGAAAUGCGUAGAUAUCAGGAGGAACACCGGCGGCGAAGGCGGCCCUCUGGAUCGUUGCUGGCGCUGAGACGCGAAAGCGUGGGGAG